CCGCCACCUGUAGCGAUUGUGACAUUGGUCGCUCAUCAACACGAUCGUCAACGCAUCUGGCUGGUACUUUGACAGCCAAUUGUAGAAGUGGUGAAAUGUACACGGAUCGCUUCACUCAUAUUCAGAUUCAGAACGAGGAAUACUUCACUGAAGAUGAUGUGAAAUGGCUAUCAGUUUUGAUCAGUUCAACAUGAUUGUAUUCACCCGUGGACGGAUAUCCACAACCAAUCAUAAACGUAGAGCGCGGUCCAGGAUCGGAAGAAUGCCGACGUGGAAUGCGGUGGCGAGGAAAUUGAAACUACUCGGCGUCGGCACGCCCGGCUUCCCUAAAAUUCGGGUCAGUCUUUAAUACCGAGAGUUGGAAAACCACGGCGAACAAAGACCAAGGGAGGAAGGAGUAAUCGGUCCUGAACCAAAUAUUGUAGUCAGAACACAUGGGAAAAUACAUCAGUAUCUUCAAUUGAACAAAGGGUUCAAAAACUAGAAUAUAGUUAUCAGGUCAGAUAGCCAAGCAGCCAUCAAAACACUAAGUUCAAGCAAGAUGUUGCUGUAACUAAAUAAGGCAUACAAAACAGUCAUCCUCUGUUCAGUCCCAGGACUGGUCGGAGUAGAGGGCAACGUGAACGCGAACGCCCCAAGAAAAGGGGCUGCUAUAAUGCUGAAAGGUCCUGAGCCCUUCUGUGGCAUAGGGAUUCACAUUAUCAAAAAGCAUAUUACAUUAGACAAAGACAAAUUGUGGAAUUUAUUCUACUAUAUUGCACGUAUACAUAAAUGGACAUAAAUCCAAGAAUCGUCUAGCAGAUGUUGGAAGGAAAGAAACAACAGAUUGCAUCAAAGGAGGCAAGAAAGACUUCGAAUUACGAUAGGAUUCUUGACAGGAUCCUACAGACCGAUUGGGCGUCGAAGAAGAUUGGUAUAAUCCAACAUGUCAUUUCUUCAAAGAAGCAAAGGAUACACCAACAUACCUACUUUCAAACUAUGACGCCACAUUUGCCAGCAAGAAGAAGUGUUUUGGGAUGUACAUAGUGUCCGUAGAAGAAAUUUAACGACUCAAAUUCGGCCUAUUAAUCAAGUUACUUGAUGAGCUAAGACCCACCGUUGCGCUAUAUAGCUUUUUUCAGUUAAAUUGGUACUUUUUUCUACCAAUUUAAUACUUUUUCCAACUAAAUUAGUGCUUUUCCCAAGGGAUUUAAUACUUUUCCCAACCAACUUAGUACCCUUCCCAACCAAAUUAAUACUUUUCCCAAGCAAAUUAAUACUUUUCCCGGGCAAUUUAAUACUUUUCAAAGGAGGUGGAGUAAAGGGGGGAUAUCAAACAUAAUCAUACUGUCAAGAAACGAAAUUUAUUAUUGAAAAUAAGAAAAUUACAAAAUGAACAUUAUAACAGCAAAUGUAGAUUAAAUCCUGAUUCAUCUAUAAAAAUUAAUUUUGCUCGAUUUUGGGGGACCCAUAUUUCAAAAUCCAUUGCAAGUGCCUUCGUUGUUGUACCAUUGACUCAGAAUUCAUGCGAUCUAUUUCAAUGGACGCACGCUUCAAAGUUAUUUUUAAUGACGUUAGCCCUCGGUGUAUUGAAGAAAUAGACAAAUUUAUGUUGCGUAAUGCAAGCUGUUCUUUAAUAUCUUGUAAUGAUAGGCCCGCGUUUCCUUCAAUGAUUUCCUCAAUAGCGGCUAGAAUGACAUAAGUGGUCAACUUGUGCAGCCGGGGUCCACCUCUUUUUUUAAUUACUAACGUACAGUUUUGAGACGUAUAAUUUCUGUAUAUACUGCAGCCAGUUCGAGUUUUUAUAUUUAAUUUUUGGGCUGCAUUUUGACUGAAUGACCCUCUUCAACUAAUUUUAUAAAAAUUUCUUUUUGAUGCCUUGAUGUAACUGCGUACGUACCCCUGCUCGGUCUUGAACGUUGGACACCGGACGAAGAUGAACCGCCUGCAGCACUAGGCGAUGUUUCAUCAUUAUGACCACUUAUGUCACUCCAGUCACUUCCGUCACUCAUUCUAUAUAUAAAAACUCACGCAAUGCAUACAAUAAGACGAGACAAACAACUGAAUAUUUUAGGGGUAAAGAAACCAAGAAUAGGGGAAGGAGAAUUUCCUAGAAAUCCGUCUGGGAACGAUAAGGUAGGCUGGCGAACUCAAUGAAAUCAGUGAGACAAGUUCAAACGAAACCAGCUAAUAAAGUGUUUCAUACGGCAACACGCUAUGCUCCACAUUUUUUCAAAUACCUUUUAAAUAAGUAUUAAUUUGCUUGGGAAAAGUAUUAACUUGCUUGAGAAAGGUACUAAUUUGGUUGGGAAAAAUAUGAAAUUGCUUGAGAAAAGUAUUAAAUCGCUUGGGAAAAGUAUUAACUUGCUUGAGAAAGGUACUAAUUUGGUUGGGAAAAAUAUUAAAUUGGUAGAAAAAAGUACCAAUUUGACUGAAAAAAGCUAUAAAUACGGAAAUUCUCAUAGGGCCCACUAUACGCCCCGAACAUUACAUCUACAUCUAAUUUUUUUUGCUUUGCCAGAGGCAUUUAUCAAUUGUCCAAGUGAAGGGCAAAUAAAAAAAAAUACAAAGUUUUAAAAAGUUAUAAACAAUCAUAAAUAUUAUAAAUAAUGUAAGACCUAAGACCCUCCACAUUGCAAUGAUACAAUUUAAACAUGUCACAAUCCAAAAAGCAACAAUUGACAACGAUAGCAAAUAACAAAUUAUACUAAUGAACAGUUAUGUAUUAACGCAUUAACGAAUAAUUAUAAUAUAUAUAGCACACUCGCUUAUGGAAAUGUCCGCAGCCCAGGGAUAAAAUUCCCGAUUUGCUGGAGAGCCAUCCUCGGAUGCGGCACCCCAGAGAUCAGAUACAAGUAAGGCAGCUCAGCCUUCAGUCAGUAAUACCACUGCCUGCAAAAGGAAUAGAUGGCCCUAUACCGAUCCUCCACGUUCGAUUCCAGCAAGCUCUCUCAGUUGAAGACCAUGACGAGAAAGACUGUUCUAUUUUCCUCGUUUUCCGGACAAUCAAGGAUUAAACUUUUGUGCUUUCAGGGUCAUCGUAGGUUUCCCAGUUUCGAGAUGCCCUACAGUUUAUUUUGUGGAGGUACUCUCCGCAGAUACAGUGGUUCAUGCGAAUCCAAGUCAUUGAUGUAUAGAAUGUUUUGUAGUUAAACCAUGGGAUCGGACGCAGGUCUGGGAAAAGGGAUUUGUAGGCUCUUCCCGCAGUUCCUCUGUAAUACCAGUUACGCCAUUCUAUUAACCACUGUUUGUUUAUUGUGUGUUUCGCGUCGAUUUUAGGUAAUUUUAUUUUGUGGAACUCUCCGAUCUUGGUUGCUUAUUUUGCUAUCCGGUCGACAAUUUCAUUCAUGAUUCCACUAUGUCCUCGGCUCCAGCAAAAAACCUCUUUUUUUUUUGGAGAGACUCCAUGUUAUGAACCAUGUUUACAAUUUGUGUAACUAAAUAGUCGCACUUCGCGUUUGGAUGGAAUUUUUCUAUUUCCCUGAUUGAGCUCAUGCUGCCCAAAAUAAUGCAGAAUCUUACUUUCUUUUUUCAGUCGUAAAGAAACUGAUAAUUAUUCAGCCUUCCGUGGAGGCUUCUAUCAAAUUAAACAGCUGGUAGUUUUUACAUAUAAUUGUCGAUUGCUCGGUAAGGUCUUUUAGUCUUAGAAAUACAAACAAAAUAAAGGGUAAAUAAUAUAAAAAAGACAUAAUAUAAAUAAAGUGUAAGUAAAAUUAUUGUAGAGCAGAAAUACUUUUGAAAUAAACAGGCUUAGAAAUGUAUGUAACUGUACCCAUGCACAUAACAAAAGUAUGUAAAUAUAGCAGGGCAUUUGUUUUUCUAAGUGGCUUGUUUGUCUUACGUUAUAAUUAUGAAAUUCACUAGUUUCGUGG